GGAUAUUGUCACCUCGAACACGUUCGUAUAGAUAACGCAGGCACAAACGUAUCUGUGACGAUCGAGACGUUUGGCACACCACGUGCUAACUUCUCUGCCAUCUCUCCAUGGUACGACAUACAGAGAAACAAAGACGGACAGAUCGUUUUGUCUCGAUCUCUUUACGGUUUCAACGGAUCGACGUCUCAGGUGUUUGGUAAGCUAACUCAGUUGGUCAUCAAUAGAAAAUGGGAUCAGACAUUGAAAGAGAAAUGCAUAGCUAAUGUCGACCUAGGGACGGUGUCCAAUAGACGUUGGAAAGUGUGUUUGCUGAUUUUCUACACACCAAACGGUUCACUGUGUGAAACAAAAUACCAUGUUCAGGUCGGAUCGUUAUUAUUGCAGCUGGUUAGAGACAUGUUCAACUACUUUGAAUGUCACUUUACGUGGAAACUGCACUCAGUGUUUGUUAACAGCAGCCACAGUUGCUCGUCACUAAGGAUAGGAGCCACAGUGACGAGCAUUACAGAUUCACUCGCCUGCCAGAUUUUCUCUAGAUUUGAAUCUUGGCUUACACAUUGGAAGUCCACGAAUGGAAUGGUUGAAAGAGUAAAUAUUCAACGCAGCCUUAAACAUUCAGAAGUAAAAACACAGUACUGUAAAGCACAAUCAUUAUCAAGUAUUGCCAAGUUCAACAAUUGCCACAGAGUCAUAUCUUGUUAUACGAAAUCAAACGUGAAAGACAAAACUGUCUGUCAAUUACGAAAUAUGUCAUACAAGAAGAUCCACGAGGUCACUAAGCAGUCUACAAGAAAGAACUCCACUAAGAACUUAAGAUUCUACUGCAAUGUUGACGAUAGUAACUAAAUUAACUAAAUAGAAGAUGAU